GACGAACGCUGGCGGCGUGCUUAACACAUGCAAGUCGAACGGAAAGGCCCUGCUUUUGUGGGGUGCUCGAGUGGCGAACGGGUGAGUAACACGUGAGUAACCUGCCCUUGACUUUGGGAUAACUUCGGGAAACUGGGGCUAAUACCGGAUAGGAGCUCCUGCUGCAUGGUGGGGGUUGGAAAGUUUCGGCGGUUGGGGAUGGACUCGCGGCUUAUCAGCUUGUUGCUGGGGUAGUGGCUUACCAAGGCUUUGACGGGUAGCCGGCCUGAGAGGGUGACCGGCCACAUUGGGACUGAGAUACGGCCCAGACUCCUACGGGAGGCAGCAGUGGGGAAUAUUGCACAAUGGGCGGAAGCCUGAUGCAGCAACGCCGCGUGCGGGAUGACGGCCUUCGGGUUGUAAACCGCUUUCGCCUGUGACGAAGCGUGAGUGACGGUAAUGGGUAAAGAAGCACCGGCUAACUACGUG
rnacentral:rRNA from 1 species